CAAUAGUCCUUGCAGGGGACUAGUGCCAUCAUAAUUAGCCACUCUGGACUCCUCCAGGCACAGGCCCAGGUGGUACAGGUAAAGGCUGCUACACAGGUGGGCAGGCUUUUGUGGAGGCCUCUUCAGAGUGGAGGGAAACUGCAUUACAGGUAAAGCCCCUUGGACCUUGUGAGAGGAAAAGACAAUGAGGAUCACAACCCCAGGAAACUCAGCAGAAUGAAUCCAUUGGGUGUGACAAAUUAAACGCAAAGGGAGAGAAUCCAACAAAAAGAAAAAGUCAUGACAAGGCUUUUAAAAC
rnacentral:lncRNA from 1 species